rnacentral:rRNA from 1 species
UACGAGGGGGGCAAGCGUUGUUCGGAAUUACUGGGCGUAAAGGGCGCGUAGGCGGCCACCGCAAGUCGACUGUGAAAUCUCCGGGCUUAACCCGGAAAGGUCAGCCGAUACUGCGGGGCUAGAGUGCAGAAGGGGCAACUGGAAUUCUCGGUGUAGCGGUGAAAUGCGUAGAUAUCGAGAGGAACACCUGCGGCGAAGGCGGGUUGCUGGGCUGACACUGACGCUGAUGUGCGAAAGCUAGGGGAGCGAACGGG